rnacentral:rRNA from 1 species
UACGUAGGGAGCAAGCGUUGUCCGGAAUCAUUGGGCGUAAAGCGCGCGUAGGUGGCCAUGUAAGUCCGCUGUGAAAGUCAGAGGCUCAACCUUUGAAAGCCGGUGGAUACUGCAUGGCUAGAGUACGGAAGAGGCGAGUGGAAUUCCUGGUGUAGCGGUGGAAUGCGCAGAUAUCAGGAGGAACACCAAUAGCGAAGGCAGCUCGCUGGGACGUUACUGACACUGAGGCGCGAAAGCGUGGGGAGCGAACAGG